GCAGUUGUGGUCCAGUGGUAGAAUUUUUGCCUUCCAUGCUGGAGACCUGGGUUUGAUUCCUGGCCAGUGCG
rnacentral:tRNA from 1 species